rnacentral:tRNA from 1 species
GGGGAUGCAGCGCAGUGGUAGAGCGCUUCCUUAGCAUCUAAGAGGCCCUGGGUUCAAUACCCAGCAUCUCCA